AGAACUUGCAUUUUCUUCAGCUCGGAAGUACUUUGGAGCUUCCAUCCCCAUGACUUGGGAGUACUUCCGGGCUAUGCAGAAAGUAGAAAUCUCCAGGUCCUCCUGCAGCGUCUCCUGGCGGCACCCACGGUACCCAGCAGGGCUGGUAAGCCGAACUCCAGAUUCCAUGGUGCCCUGUGGGAAUCCGGGGCACUGCUAUGCUGUAGGGAAAUCGCUAUCUAGCGUCUUGGGGGAGGAAGUGUCCCAAAGUAGCUGCCUUCCCCCAUCAUUCCAUUCUUUCGGUGUCCCGGCCGGGUUGAGCUGCCAGCCAUCCAUCACAACGUACAGAGUUAGGAAAAAAGACGUUCAGGCAGGGAUUAAGCUUUGAGGUUGUGGUUUUGACUCUGAUGCACAAUUUCGUUGUCCCCUCAGUUGCUGAUUCUGCCUGUGAUUUUUUCUCUACUCACCUAAAUAAGCUUCCAUUUUUAGUUAAAGUAACUCCUCAGUAUUCUUUGGGUGGUCUUUCAAUAAUCAUACUUCAAAAUGUCUAUAGGUCGGCCUGGUGGUUUGACAGGGUUGCAUUUUUAUUUUUACUUGUUUGUUUUCUAUUAUUUUAUUAGAUUCAGCUCUUGCUGUUGCCCCCUCUUUUAGGGUUAAAUUUUAAGAACAGAUAUUGAUUUUUUUUUUUAAUUUCAGGUAUGGUGAAGUACAAAUGAGAGUAUCCUCGUCUGUUACAAUGGCGUAGUUGGUAGGAUUCAUGGCCUCUCUCCAGGACUGGAGCUACCUAAAGAGUGGAGAAAAUCAAAAUAUACCAGAAGUGUUAUUUUUCCAUUUCCUUUUUUAACGAAGUAAAGAAGAUUGUUAGAGGGGUCUCCGACCAAGUGCACUCAGUUCUUGCUGUUGGUCCAUCUUUUGAGAGUUUAAUUUUGAAAAAAGAUACUCAUGUUUCUUGUUUUAAAUUCCAAGUGUGGGGAGAUACAGAUGAGGGUGUCUGCUCCUGUCACAGUAGCGUAGUCAGCAGGAUUUGUGGCUGCUCUGCAGGUUUCGACCUACAUGAAGAGUGGAGAAAAUCAAAAUAUACCAGAAGUGUUAUUUUCCCAUUCCCUGUUUUAAUGAAGUAAAGAUUAUUAGAGGGUCUCCGACCAAGUGUAUUCAGCUCUUGCUGUUGCCCCCUCUCUUAGGAUUACAUUUUAAGAACAUUGAUUUUUCUUUUUUUUUUAAUUUUAGGUAGUGUGAAGUACAAAUGAGAGUAUCUUUGUCUGUUACAAUGGCGUAGUUGGUAGGAUUCAUAGCCUCUUUCCAGGACUGGAGCUACCUAAAUAGUGGAGAAAAUCAAAAUAUACCAGAAGUGUUAUUUUUCCAUUUCCUGUUUUAACGAAGUAAAGAAGAUUAUUAGAGGGUCUCCGACCAAGUGCACUCAGUUCUUGCUGUUGUUCUGUCUUUUGCGAGUUUAAUUUUGAAAACAGACACUCAUGUUUCUUGUUUUCAAUUCCAGGUGUUCGGAGUUACAGACGAGGGUAUCUGCUCUUGUUACAGUAGCGUAGCCAGCAGGAUUUGUGUCUGCUCUGCAGGCUUGGACGUACCAAAAGAGUGGAGAAAGACCACAAUAAGCCAGAAGUGUUUUUUCACAUUUCAACAAGGUGACCUCCAGCAUGAGAUUCAUUAUGGAGCGACUUUGUCGAUGCCUUUGAGAAUUGUGAGCACCUCAGUAACAUCCACAUUGGCCACCUCGGCUCGGGGCUUCAGAAGUUUCAUUCCGUGAGCCUGUCAAAGUUGGACUUGUCUUUUCCCAGAAUGCACUUGGCUCCUCUUGUCUGCAUGGCUUCAGGAACAGCAAUGUCUUUGUACUACAGUGACCGGUAACCAGAACAGCUUGGAGAAGUCUGAAUGUGACUUCUUUGGAGUGCUACAGAUAGAUGUGUUGGGACUGGGGAGUCCUCUACAGCGC